rnacentral:lncRNA from 1 species
GGGGAAGCCAGCUGCCAUGUCCUGAAGAUACUAAGGCAACCGUGUGCAGAGGAACUAAAAUACCGAGUUCAACAACAGAUCACAGGUUGCGAGAGGUCUUAAAUCCAUACUCUUCCAGUGACUAGAGCAAAUGCAGCCCUAGGUCUGGCAUCCUGAAUUUUUGUCUUAUUUUUUCAUUAGUACACGAGACUCUACUUUCAUCUUUUUAAAAGGUCUCUUGCUAUCCUUCAAGCAAAGCUAUCUCCAAAUCUGAAGAAGAGACCAAGAAAUAGAAAAAGUAGCACCUCUUGCCUGCUUCCCUGUCUAAUAUUUGAAAGAGUGCCUCCAUCAGAGAGCUCCAUCCAGACCUAGACUUGGACAAUAGGCAGUUGUUUGCUUGCCUCUGGCUCUGCUCACUCUCCAUGGGGGUCUAUAGCUGGUGAUCAUCUUGUAUACCUAAUUCUGGCUUCAUCUUCAGACUCGGACAGCCAGGAAUCCAGGAAUGUGCAGCAUGGAUGCCCAAGUCUGAGUGGAGGUUGCAUCAGUUUCAAAGACAUUGUGCUCUUCCCUGCCGUGGUGGAGUGGUGAGCCGGUUGACAUCCCGGAAAAGGUUGUUAGGGAGUGGAGGUGGGUGGAAGAACCAGAGUCAGACAGUCUGUUCUUCUCUGAUGGUGUCACAUCUGGAUAGAGUGGCUGGAGCUGCUGCAUCCAGCUUGCUACAAGCACAGGGGAUGGCAGAGCUCAGAGAUGGGAUGACCCUGUGUUCUUGAUGGAAUCAACCAGUCAUGCGGAUCCUGCUAUUUCUGGACUGGCUGUUAGACAUCUGACUCAUGAAAAGAAAAAUAGAAGUGAAAAUUGCCAUUUUUCUCAAGAAAUAGCACUUUCUUCCCACAAUAUAAAGAAGACCAUUUGACUUUUAUUACUAAGUUUUCCAAACCACUGAGCAUGCACCUCCACAUGCCUGCAGAGUGCACUGGUUGCCAUUGGGUUGAGUGAAUUCCAGUUACACAUUACUAUCACAGACAAGUAAAGGGUCAAUGAAAUACAUAUUCACGACCCCACAAAUAAUCUUUUCAGUAGUCUGUUUCCUAGUUACAUGAUUUCCCUUUUCUUAAAUCCUUGAAUUAUUUGAUAAAAGUCUCCACAGUGGUGUUUUUACUGUGGCUGAACUUUGGUGGGUAAAGAGAUAAAAGAAAAACUUCAAUCUAUGGCCUUGGGACACACAUGAGAAAUUUGCUACCCAGGUGAGGCACACUUGUGGAAGCCAAAAAUCUUCAUGCUUAUAUCAAAUCCAUGAAUAUUCUGGCUUCUGAACAUGGCCCAAGUACGGGAGGGUUAUGUGCAGUAGUAAACAGAUGACUAAACUACAUCUGAUGCCUAAGUAGUGACUUCUUGGUGAACACACAACUUUUUCACCAUGCUAUCAUGCAAUCAUUUUUAAAACUCGGGAUGUCAUCUUCCUCCCUUGUAAGUUCAAGCCCCCAGAUAUGGCUUAUCAGGCCACUUAUAAUGUGUGUGCUUUCAAGUUCACGAUAUACAUUGCAUUACAUUUAUAAUAUCAGGUGACGUGACACAGCAAAUGAUACCUUCAACUAUCUCCAGCCCCAAUCUUGGGAAAUGUUUCUGGUAGUCCCAGUAGCAGGGACAGCAAGCUAAAAUAAGGGGUUUAACGUUUAAGAUCUCUAAGAGCUGAUACCACUGGGGCAAACUCCCUCAACAAUGAGGUUUUCUCCAACCUCAAAAGAAAGGCCAGUGAACAGUCAUCUGGUACAGGUGGCAUUGCUGGUGGGAGGAGUGGGUUUUCCACGGCUGUACUACACAUUUUGGGAGCCAUCAAUAGCUGGCGCAGUGGAUGCAACACCCUCUUGAUUGUCAGCAGAAGCAAAUCACUAGAAGCCCUGGAACCCUAGUAAAACACCCAAAAGAAAACAUGGAAUUAAAUAUCACGUUGUCAUCCCUGCUGCUUAGGUACAGAAGAGGUACAGCUCUAUUCUGGAAGGAUUUGGAGUCAUUUGAGAGAGCAGCUUUACAUCAGAAGUUUUGACUAGUAUUCUCAUUUUAGGGACAGAUAGUGAUUCUCAUUUGAGGACAGCUGAAAAAAAAAAACAGCUGAAUUAUCACCAACUAGUUUAGGUUAUGUCUUGGGUUGAAUUGUGUUGUCCAAAAAGAUUCAUUGACGCACUAACCCCCAGAACCUCAGAAUGUGACCCUUAUUUGGAAUGAGGGUCUUUACAGAGUUAAUCAGAUUAAAAUAAGAUACGAUUGGCACUAACCCAAUAUGAGUUUUUAGAAAAAGGGGAAAUUUCAACCCAGAGACAUGCAUUGUGGGAGAACUAUAAGAAAAGAUACAGGCAGAACGCCAUGAGAAGACAAAUGCACAGACUAGGGGAUGCAACUACAAGCCAAGGAAUGGCAAAGAUUUCCAGCAAACCACCAGAUGCUAGGAGAAGCAUGGAACAGAUUCU